GUGAAUCCAUUACACGAACGGUCUGUUAUUGAGAACUUGCAAUGAAGCAGCAACUUUGAGGUUAUUAAAAAGAGGAUUUAGUGCUUACAUUAGAGAGUUGGUAUAAUGGCAGACAGAGAGAAGGUGGAGAGAUAUGAACACUUCCUCAAUAAUGUCCUAAAGGAAGAUUUAAAUUAUCACGAACAGUUUUGAGUCGUGCGUCAUCUAAAUUUUUGUGUCCCUGAGAGUACAAGCCUAAGAGAGGUUCGAGCUCCAUCCACAUCUUCACCAUCAUCUCUUUUCGUCUGUCUCUUACUUUUUUCAAGUAAUUUCUUUGUCUCCUUUUUUUUUCUUUUCUGCUUUGAUUUUCUUUUCUGAGUUAAUUUUUUUUCUCUUUCUUUCCCCUCCUUUAGUGAAUAAGUCUUUAUUGGUAAGUGAAUUAUA